UACGAAGGGGGCUAGCGUUGCUCGGAAUCACUGGGCGUAAAGGGUGCGUAGGCGGGUCUUAAGUCAGGGUGAAAUCCUGGAGCUCAACUCCAGAACUGCCUUUGAUACUGAAGAUCUUGAGUUCGGGAGAGGUGAGUGGAACUGCGAGUGUAGAGGUGAAAUUCGUAGAUAUUCGCAAGAACACCAGUGGCGAAGGCGGCUCACUGGCCCGGAUACUGACGCUGAGGCACGAAAGCGUGGGGAGCAA
rnacentral:rRNA from 1 species